ACGCUAGCUACAGGCUUAACACAUGCAAGUCGAGGGGCAGCAUGGUCUUAGCUUGCUAAGGCCGAUGGCGACCGGCGCACGGGUGAGUAACACGUAUCCAACCUGCCGUCUACUCUUGGACAGCCUUCUGAAAGGAAGAUUAAUACAAGAUGGCAUCAUGAGUCCGCAUGUUCACAUGAUUAAAGGUAUUCCGGUAGACGAUGGGGAUGCGUUCCAUUAGAUAGUAGGCGGGGUAACGGCCCACCUAGUCUUCGAUGGAUAGGGGUUCUGAGAGGAAGGUCCCCCACAUUGGAACUGAGACACGGUCCAAACUCCUACGGGAGGCAGCAGUGAGGAAUAUUGGUCAAUGGGCGAGAGCCUGAACCAGCUAAGUAGCGUGAAGGAUGACUGCCCUAUGGGUUGUAAACUUCUUUUAUAAAGGAAUAAAGUCGGGUAUGGAUACCCGUUUGCAUGUACUUUAUGAAUAAGGAUCGGCUAACUCCGUGCCAGCAGCCGCGGUAAUACGGAGGAUCCGAGCGUUAUCCGGAUUUAUUGGGUUUAAAGGGAGCGUAGAUGGAUGUUUAAGUCAGUUGUGAAAGUUUGCGGCUCAACCGUAAAAUUGCAGUUGAUACUGGAUAUCUUGAGUGCAGUUGAGGCAGGCGGAAUUCGUGGUGUAGCGGUGAAAUGCUUAGAUAUCACGAAGAACUCCGAUUGCGAAGGCAGCCUGCUAAGCUGCAACUGACAUUGAGGCUCGAAAGUGUGGGUAUCAAACAGGAUUAGAUACCCUGGUAGUCCACACGGUAAACGAUGAAUACUCGCUGUUUGCGAUAUACUGCAAGCGGCCAAGCGAAAGCGUUAAGUAUUCCACCUGGGGAGUACGCCGGCAACGGUGAAACUCAAAGGAAUUGACGGGGGCCCGCACAAGCGGAGGAACAUGUGGUUUAAUUCGAUGAUACGCGAGGAACCUUACCCGGGCUUAAAUUGCAGAUGAAUUACGGUGAAAGCCGUAAGCCGCAAGGCAUCUGUGAAGGUGCUGCAUGGUUGUCGUCAGCUCGUGCCGUGAGGUGUCGGCUUAAGUGCCAUAACGAGCGCAACCCUUGUUGUCAGUUACUAACAGGUUCCGCUGAGGACUCUGACAAGACUGCCAUCGUAAGAUGUGAGGAAGGUGGGGAUGACGUCAAAUCAGCACGGCCCUUACGUCCGGGGCUACACACGUGUUACAAUGGGGGGUACAGAGGGCCGCUACCACGCGAGUGGAUGCCAAUCCCCAAAACCUCUCUCAGUUCGGACUGGAGUCUGCAACCCGACUCCACGAAGCUGGAUUCGCUAGUAAUCGCGCAUCAGCCACGGCGCGGUGAAUACGUUCCCGGGCCUUGUACACACCGCCCGUCAAGCCAUGGGAGCCGGGGGUACCUGAAGUGCGUAACCGCGAGGAGCGCCCUAGGGUAAAACUGGUGACUGGGGC
rnacentral:rRNA from 1 species